GGGACACGCCAACUGCUCGUCAAGACGCCUCCACCGCUCGACGUGCCCGACCUUGUUCGGCGGCCU
rnacentral:misc_RNA from 1 species